AAUAAUAAUAGCCAGGGGCAGUGGCUCAUACCCAUAAUCCCAGCACGCUGGGAGGCCAUGAUGGGAGGAUUGCUUGAACCUAGGAGUUUGAGACCAGCCUGGGCAACAAAGUGAGACCUGAUUUUUACAAAAAAUCAAAAAAUUAGCCAGGCAUGGUGGCAUGCACCCGUGGUUCCAGCUACACAGGAGGUUGAAGCAGGAGGAUCACUUGAGCCCAGUAGGUUAAGGCUGCAGUGAAACCCUGUGAAUUAACCACUGUACUCCAGCCUGGGUGACAGACUGAGACCCUAUCUCAAAAAUGACAACAAGAACAACAAAAGUUAAUGAUAAUAUAGAAGCAUAAAUUUCCUGUGAAUGUUCAAUUACACAUAAUAAACAUUAUUGAAUUGUACACAA
rnacentral:lncRNA from 10 species